UACGAAGGGGGCUAGCGUUGUUCGGAAUUACUGGGCGUAAAGCGCACGUAGGCGGUCCAGCAAGUCGGGUGUGAAAGCCCUCGGCUUAACCGAGGAAGUGCAUUCGAAACUACUGGACUUGAAUACUGGAGAGGAUCGCGGAAUUCCCGGUGUAGAGGUGAAAUUCGUAGAUAUCGGGAGGAACACCAGUGGCGAAGGCGGCGAUCUGGACAGAUAUUGACGCUGAUGUGCGAAAGCGUGGGGAGCAAACAGG
rnacentral:rRNA from 1 species